AAGUAUGAUAGAAGAAAAAACCUGGACUACCCAAGCCACCACCAGUAAUGCUUGUGAAUACAUUAUCUUGGUGUGGACUCAUUAUACAGCCUAGUACCAAGCAUUCCUCCUGAACGAUUCUAAUAAUUGGAAGAGGACAGUAGGGCCCCAGAAGUGAGUCAUAUCAAAGCCAUCACUACACAGCUAACCCACCCCUUUCAUCAAGCAGAAAUGAUUCCAUAUUAGCCACAGCUUCCAUGAUCUCAUUAGCAAAGAUAUUAAAAAUCUGCUUUUCCUCUAGGAGGAAAGAUUGAAGCACUGCCACAAAUUAUUUCACCCAGAAUAUUUUGGCUUGAUUGGAUGAAUGGGGAUGGGGAAAAAUUCUUUCUCUCCAUGGCAGUUUUCCUUAAUCCUUUUGGGAGGGUACUUAUGUGAUGGAAAAUGAGAUACCUCCCGAUGUGUGUGAGUCCAGGGAAAGGCCUAAACUUAGACUUGGGACACAUUCAUUGCAAGUAAGCAGCUUGGGCAAAAGGCAAUUACGGGCUUACACAGACUAAAAGUUCACGGGUCGAUCUGGUUUAGUGCAUAAAUGAACUCAGGACUCAAAUAAUAUGAUUAGGACAUGACUUUUUUCCCUUCAAUUAGUCCUGCCUUCCUUGUCUCAAUUCCCAUAUGGCUGCAUGAUGGCAUUGGCACCACGGACCUCUCAGCCUCUCAGGGUACAGACCCUGUACACAAGAAACAAGAGUGCUAUUCACAGUAAAAUUCUCAGAGCAGACCAGGGCCAUGCGCGGUGGCUCAUGCCUGUAAUCCCAGCACUUUGGGAGGCCAAGUCUCUUUGUAGGUCUCUAAGAAUUUGCUUUAUGAAUCUGGGUGCUCCUGUAUUAGGUGUGUAUAUAUUUUGG
rnacentral:lncRNA from 1 species